rnacentral:sRNA from 1 species
UGUCUUCUUUAUAGGUGUUUCGGAUUC